rnacentral:rRNA from 1 species
GGACUACCCGGGUAUCUAAUCCCGUUCGCUACCCUGGCUUUCGUGUGUGAGCGUCAGAUUUGGACCAGUGCGCUGCCUUCGCCUUUGGUGUUCCCCACGAUAUCAACGGAUUUCACCCCUACACCGUGAGUUCCACGCACCUCUUCCAACCUCAAGUCAUGCCGUUUCGCUCGCGGGCCUGAAGUUGAGCUCCAGGAUUUUACGAACGACUAACAUGACCGCCUUGACACCCUUUACGCCCAGUGAUUCCGGAUAAUGCUUGGGGCCUCUGUAUUACCGCGGCUGCUGGCAC